GACGAACGCUGGCGGCGUGCCUAAUACAUGCAAGUCGAGCGGACAGAAGGGAGCUUGCUCCCGGAAGUUAGCGGCGGACGGGUGAGUAACACGUGGGCAACCUACCCUGUAGAUCGGGAUAACAUCGAGGAAUCGGUGCUAAUACCGGAUAAUCAUUUGAAGUGCAUGCUUCGAAUGUAAAAGAUGGCUCCGGCUAUCACUACGGGAUGGGCCCGCGGCGCAUUAGCUGGUUGGUAAGGUAAUGGCUUACCAAGGCAACGAUGCGUAGCCGACCUGGAGGGGUGAUAGGCCACACGGGGACUGAGACACGGCCCAGACUCCUACGGGAGGCAGCAGUAGGGAAUCUUCCGCAAUGGACGAAAGUCUGACGGAGCAGCGCCGCGUGAGUGAUGAAGGUUUUCGGAUCGUAAAGCUCUGUUGUUAGGGAAGAACAAGUGCCGUUUGAAUAAGGCGGCACCUUGACGGUACCUAACCAGAAAGCCACGGCUAACUACGUGCCAGCCGCCGCCGUAAAAC
rnacentral:rRNA from 1 species